CUUCUUCGUUGUUCCUUGGGCUUCAUUUUGGUAUGUAGAAGGACUAGGUUUAGUUGAGAUUCGAGGUUGAUCAAAGCUUUGGAACCUCCAACUUUCUUUUUCGUGGAGUCCACCCAACCUACGAUGUGGAAUCGGGUUGACUCGACCUGCAACUCAAAACCAGGCACAAACCUUUGGGCCAUGUAUCAAGCCCAACUCAUUGACCCUAACAUAUUUAUCUUAACCCAGGCCCAACCCACUUACCGUAACCCGGAUCCAAUCCAAUGACCAGGACCCCAUCUCAGUUCCAUGGUCUGCGUGUGGGUGUGCGUCAUGGCCGAUGCACGUCUCUACUGGAGGUACUGUGCUGUAAUAUCCUCAAAAUUUUAGGUAAUGAUUAAGAGUGAAUUGCUUGCGGCCAUUAAAAGUUCUCUUACUUUUGAGACCAAGCUUUGGCUUGAAAAGAGAAGAACUAAAAGAAAAGAAUUCAUGUAAAAUUUAAAAAAAAAGGGAAAAGGGGAUGGGGUUUCUAGAAAACCCCCUCAUAUUGCUGUUUUCCCUUUCAGCCGAAAGGAAUGAAAGGAUUUAUCCCUUUUAUCCCUUAAAUUGUCAAAACAAAAAUUGAAGGAGGAGGAAAUUAGCUUUCCUUUCCUCUAUUUGUAAAGAUUAGAACAAGUGAGGAUCUUUCCUUUGUCUCCAUUUAAGAUAAGGAGGAGAAGACCAAGGUGACUAUGGAACAAGUUGACGAACACCCUGGGAGUUGAAUAUCAAGAAAUUGUGUUGAGGUAGGGGAGUUUUAAUCAAAAAGAAAUAUUUUGGAUUUUCAUUUUUACUUGAUCAAGGAUUGUUGGCAUUUGAGCACUAUUUGAAGCUUACCUAAAGUGUUUUUCUUUUUUCGAUUAUAUGAAAGAAGUGAAGAAAAUAUUUCUCUAUGGUUUGAUCUUAAUGAUUCGAAUUCCGUUGCUACAACUUUGGUGAGUUUAAAAUGAUUGAAAUGAUUUUUCAAGAUUUUGUUUUGAUGUGCAUGCCUCUUAUUUUACUCAAUAUCGAAUUUUGAAGCAUUUUGAUACGAAUGUUCAAAUUGUGAAAGAAUAUGGAAAGUAGUAUAAUACAUGUGCACAAUGACUCGUGAUGUUGUUGAUUAUGGGCACAAUGACCCAAUGUUCCCCGGGAAGAGCUCCAUGUAUGGAAUGUGAGAAUGAGUUAUCAAAGUGAUAAAUACGUGUGAUAUGUAAAUUGGCCAGUUAUUACUAUUGUUCGUUCCAAUCUGCUAGUCACUUGUUUGGGAUAAUAGAAAAUCUUUGAGAUUAGUUGUGUUUGUGUUUCUUUAAAUGAUAAUGGCUUUAUUAUCCUUAUGACAAAGGAAGUGACUUCUGAACCAGUGUGUUGUACCGUUGUUAACAAAGCUACUAAUGUUCUAAAACUUUGGUUUUUCUGUCAUAUGUUACCUCCAAGCAUUUUUGGAGCAUAUUUAAGAUUGUUGGAUUUUGUGGUAAUGAAUAUAAAUGUUUUCGAAUUACUUUUAUUAUUUUCUGGCAUGCACCAUAAAUUUUAAAUGACUACAGACUUACUGAAAGCCCCCUACUGGGCAUUUUAUGCUCACCCGUUUUUCUAAACAUGUACUUUCAAGUGUGUAGAGUCGGCUAGCUAAUUUUCAAGUGGCAGCUCUAGUGUGGGAUAGUAGAAGGGAGUCCAGACGUACACUUCCUUUGGUGGACGGUGGUGACCACGGCGGCGCCGGCGACCUUUCUGGCGACCCACAUCAACAUGUGGCCUUCCAGGCCACCGCCUUGUGGCAGCGUAUGGAAGAACCCGAGGUCCCUCCUAGGUGCAUCAGUUGGAAGUGAUACCACCUCGCUAGUUCGAGUGGCUCUCAGGCAAUGAAAUACUUGAUUUAGAUUCGAGGCACACGAUCCCGGCGUCACGGCACUUCUGCUUAAGCAUCUUCGAGUCUACUUUGUGAUCGGGGCAUGUCAUUUCCCUGGUGAUCUGGUGACUCAAAGAAUGGCGAGGUCUACCUUGAGAUAAUGAGGUUAUAAUUGAGGUGCAUCAAUUUUUUGUUGAAAACUAUUUCCAAACCCCCUCUUAGACCUUGGUUAAGUCUUGUGCCUUUGAGAAUUUAUGUAAGGGAUCUCUCUUCGGAGUAGGUUCUACUAUAAGAAAAAAAUUCUAUUGUGCAAAAAGGUAUCUAGACAACUUUUUAAUUAAUUAUUGUACCCACAUCAGCACAUAACAAAUUUUUUACAGAAUUGUGGCGAAAUGAUCAUAUUGAUUUGCAA